AAGUCGUAACAAGGUAACCGUAGGUGAACCUGCGGUUGGAUCAUUACUGAUUAACCUCUCUAGGCGUUGAUACCGCAAGGAGUCCGCCUAGAGAAUUCACCCCUGUGCACUAUUUUGUUUUUUGGGUCAUGCGGGUCAGAAUAGUACCCCUAUGAUGGCCGGUGGCCCAGUUGUAAAGACCAUAUCAUUUGUCUGAAAUCUCUAUGAAAUUAGAAACAACUUUUGACAACGGAUCUCUUGGCUCUC
rnacentral:misc_RNA from 1 species